UACAGAGGGUGCGAGCGUUAAUCGGAAUUACUGGGCGUAAAGCGUGCGCAGGCGGCUUUGCAAGACAGAUGUGAAAUCCCCGGGCUCAACCUGGGAACUGCAUUUGUGACUGCAAGGCUAGAGUACGGUAGAGGGGGAUGGAAUUCCGCGUGUAGCAGUGAAAUGCGUAGAUAUGCGGAGGAACACCGAUGGCGAAGGCAAUCCCCUGGGCCUGCACUGACGCUCAUGCACGAAAGCGUGGGGAGCAAACAGG
rnacentral:rRNA from 1 species